rnacentral:rRNA from 1 species
GAUGAACGCUGGCGGCGUGCCUAAUACAUGCCAGUCGAGCGAACGGACGAGAAGCUUGCUUCUCUGAUGUUAGCGGCGGACGGGUGAGUAACACGUGGAUAACCUACCUAUAAGACUGGGAUAACUUCGGGAAACCGGAGCUAAUACCGGAUAAUAUUUUGAACCGCAUGGUUCAAAAGUGAAAGACGGUCUUGCUGUCACUUAUAGAUGGAUCCGCGCUGCAUUAGCUAGUUGGUAAGGUAACGGCUUACCAAGGCAACGAUGCAUAGCCGACCUGAGAGGGUGAUCGGCCACACGGGAACUGAGACACGGUCCAGACUCCUACGGGAGGCAGCAGUAGGGAAUCUUCCGCAAUGGGCGAAAGCCUGACGGAGCAACGCCGCGUGAGUGAUGAAGGUCUUCGGAUCGUAAAACUCUGUUAUUAGGGAAGAACAUAUGUGUAAGUAACUGUGCACAUCUUGACGGUACCUAAUCAGAAAGCCACGGCUAACUACGUG